rnacentral:ncRNA from 1 species
CUCUGAUAAGGGCAAACCGGAUGAAAGUCCGGGACGCAAAGUCAUCGGUCUAAAGGGCUUCGGCCCAAUGACGGCAGGACUGCCAGA